CUGUGAUGUUUGGCUUCUUGGCUAGCCUGGCUUUCCUGCGGACCCAUAAAUCUGUGCCGUGGAUGUAUGAAGGAAGGGGUGUGUGAGGCUGGCUCUCAGCAAGGUCUCCUUCAUGACUUGAUGCUGGGCCGGUUGUCUUCCAGAUACUUUGAGAGGAAAAACACAUACUGCACACCUCGGAAUACCUGGAUUUGGUUCUCAGUGCCCGGUGGCAAGCCAGCUUAAAAACAAACAGACAUUCUGACUGUCUCACUGGGCUUUCUGGGUUCUGCUAGGACUGGUAGGUGUAGCCUACCCAACCGAGAAAUGGGCAAGCAGCCAGAGAUGGGCAGAGACCACUAGCCAGACAAAACAUCUGCCACGGACGCGGGUCCCUUGGGGCGUUCCUGCUUCGUGUGAGAGGGCGGCGAGCUGUCGGCGAGUGAUCUUUCCUUGCGAGGGCUGAACAUCCAUGUCUCACAGUGAUGGCAUUCUGUAAUCUCCUGCAGAGGAAAGACAGCCAGGUAACUUGGCGUCUUUAAAUCGCCUGUUGUGUUUGCAUGCACUCUGAUGGCCUGGCCUCCUGAGCAGGCUGUUCUCCUGCCCUGCGCUUUAUGCUGCCUGGAAUGGACUCCAGCCUCCGUACCAUGACCUUAAUGAGUGCUAGAAGAUGGACGUGUUACAGGCGGUGCUGUGUGGCUCACAGGGCUAGUCCUCUGUGCCCGUGAUCGGAUUGCUGCUGGUUCAAGCCCUGGCCCCAACAGGCUCAUUACAUCUGCACUGGUCUCUUGAGCAAGGCUCCUCCAGUGUUCCCCAGGGGUGCUGGAUAAAUGGCCUGACUCUGCACUCAGGCCCCAAGGUUCACUCUCAGCAGUGUGCAUGUGUUGCACCUCAAAGGAAAGCAAGAUGAUGUAUACAUGCAGAAGCAUUCCAAUGUAUCUCUGGGUGCGCAAAUGGCAAAUAAAAGAUCGUUUAAUUUACAGAGUAUCUUAAUGAAUCUAGAGCACAUACGCAUUAUGAAGAACAAACUGGACUUUUGUUUUCUUGAGUCAACAAGUUAACCCAGUUGUAACGGCAAAUGAACCAAGCAGCAGCCUUGUAGGGUAUCACCAAUUCUGUUUUCCAUAGUCUCUUCUGCAUCUGUCCCUGAUGAUGUCUUCAAAGACUGCUAGAGACCUUCAUCGUCUGUUAAAGACUCUCCUGACAUCGUCGCUGGCUCUCUCUAAAUCUGAGGGAGCAUGUUGUGCACGCAUGAUGGUGAAGCAGGAGCGCAGCAUCACUGCACUGUGGGCAGAACUCCUCUGUGCCGAUGCUCAGCCUCCACUCGCACAAACCACAGUCUCAUUACACUGUCCGGACCUUUAAUGUGAAACCAUACUGUUUAAUUUCUUUUUCUGGAUGCUAUGCUGUGAAAACACAUGUGAGACGCAUUCUUCGCUACCGAUUUAAGAUAUUUAUGUUACAAAGUGCUUUAAGUGGGUCUUGACCAAUGUAAAACAUGUGGUUUUAGUUCAAAGGAGCUUGUUUGCAGAAUAAAUAGGAGAAAGUGUGAAAGAAACGACUUUGGAGAGAAAAUCAGAAGGGCAGAUACUUUUGUAACAGAAAAUGGCUGGCAGAACUGGAACGGUGCUAUAGUUUGCAGCAUCUUUCCACUGGGCUUGUUUUGGCAAGGAAAACAGACACAGUUUGGCCUCUAUAUCUUCAGGGGAGAAAACAUGCUGAGGUGCUGAGUGAAAAGCUAGAAAGAACCUGAAUCGUCACUUUGAUAGAAGAUCUCAUGUUAAGCCUACUGUAGUUUUUUCUCAACAAUUUGUUUUUUUUUUUGUCUUUUGUUAAUACUCCACUUUGCUGACCACCGUUCUCCUUAAAUAUUCCUUUCUUCUACAGUUAAAUGCUAAAUAAAAUAUGAAAUCUUCUGUUGAAUAGCGCAUUAAACAUUUAUUUACAGUAAAAAAAAAAAAUACAGCUUAUAUUACAUCCCACAUAAUUAACCUUUUUGCAUUCCUUGACAUUCCUUAACUGAAA